CGCAGCUAACGCAUUAAGCGUCCCGCCUGGGGAGUACGACCGCAAGGUUAAAACUCAAAGGAAUUGAACGGGGGCCCGCACAAGCAGCGGGGCAUGCGGCUUAAUUCGAUGCAACGCGAAGAACCUUACCUAGGCUUGACAUGCAUUGAAAACUGUUAGAGAUAACAGGUCCGCAAGGGCUUUGCACAGGUGGUGCAUGGCUGUCGUCAGCUCGUGUCGUGAGAUGUUGGGUUAAGUCCCGCAACGAGCGCAACCCUCGUCUUGUGUUGCCAACAGGUAAUGCUGGGAACUCACAAGAGACUGCCGGGGUCAACUCGGAGGAAGGUGGGGACGACGUCAAGUCAUCAUGCCCCUUAUGUCUAGGGCUGCACGCAUGCUACAAUGGCCGAUACAAAGGGCUGCGAUACCGCGAGGUGGAGCGAAUCCCAUAAAGUCGGUCUCAGUUCGGAUUGAGGUCUGCAACUCGACCUCAUGAAGUUGGAGUUGCUAGUAAUCGCGGAUCAGCAACGCCGCGGUGAAUACGUUCCCGGGCCUUGUACACACCGCCCGUCACGUCACGAAAGUCGGUAACACACCAAAACCAGUGGUCCAACCGUAAGGGGGAAGCUG
rnacentral:rRNA from 1 species